rnacentral:rRNA from 1 species
GCCGUUCGGGAACCUGGACACAGGUGCUGCAUGGCUGUCGUCAGCUCGUGUCGUGAGAUGUUGGGUUAAGUCCCGCAACGAGCGCAACCCUUAUCCCCAGUUGCCAUCAGGUAAGCUGGGAACUCUGGGGAGACUGCCGGUGAUAAACCGGAGGAAGGCGGGGAUGACGUCAAGUCCUCAUGGCCCUUACAUCCCGGGCUACACACGUGCUACAAUGGCAGGUACAGAGGGCUGCGAAGCCGCGAGGUGGAGCGAAUCCCAGAAAACCUGUCUCAGUCCGGAUUGAAGUCUGCAACUCGACUUCAUGAAGGCGGAAUCGCUAGUAACCGCGAAUCAGCAGGUCGCGGUGAAUACGUUCCCGGGCCUU